rnacentral:lncRNA from 1 species
UUCGACUGACCUGCAUGACAGCUCUCCAAUCACUACUACACCGAAUCAGUCAACUCCCCGAUGAGCUCCAAGAAAUCAUCCGGCAGAAGAUUCGCGACCUUCUUCCGGCAACACACUUUGUUCAAUUGACUGACAACAUCCUCCUACUAGCGACCACUUUUUGGAUCAGCACCGAGUUCGUCUGUCAGCAAAAGCUUGACAACCGACACCUCGACCAGCCAACAACGAUCCUGCCCAACAAGAGUGGACCGACUACAAGAAGUUCUACAGCAUAGUAACCCUUAGAAGAUUAUACAAUAACUACUACCGAAGACUAGCUUCGAAGCUGCAGGCCUGAAGAUAUUUCUGGAGCCUUGAGAUUAUCGUCGACACCGAUUCGACAUUCAGCCAGAUACCCAACAACAUCACCGACAACCAAUUUGAGAGUUUGAUGAAGACCUUCAUCCCCGAGAUACCAACAUCCAAGAUAGUUUUAGUGUACAAGAACCCACGGCCGAAGAGAGCCACAUGAACAAGCCAAGGAAAGCAGCCAGCAAACAACAAGAAGACAUCGAAAGACUUCAACG